CCGAUACUAUGAUGAUAACAUAGUUCAGCAGACUUAUCUCUGAUGAACAAAUCAUGUCUUUCGCUCCUAUCUGAUGUAUCUG